UGCCUAAGUAUAAAUUUCAUCCUUAUGGUAAAACUGCGAAUGGCUCAUUAAAUCAGUUAUUAUCUGUUUGGUGUUUUUCAUUAAAAAAAUAAAAAAAUAAAUGGAUAACUCUAUUAACGUAGAGCUAAUACAUGCACAAUAAAAAACAAAUUAAAGUUCUUGUCAGUUUAAAAAAAAAAAAAAGCCAAACUUUUUUGUUUUUUUUUUUUAAAAAAAAACAAAAAUGAAAAAAAAAAAUAUAUUUUAAAAAAAAAAUUGGCUGARACAUGACAAUAAAAACAAAUCGCUAARAGGUAAAAAACUCAUAACAAAAAUAUACAUAAAACCCUCGGCGAUAAUCCAUUUGAAUUUCUGCCCUAUCAACUUGAUGGUAGGAUAGAGGCCUACCAUGGUCGUUACGGGUAACGGGGAAUUAGGGUUUGAUUCCGGAGAGGGAGCUUGAGAAAUGGCUACCACUUCUAUGGAAGGCAGCAGGCGCGCAAAUUACCCAAUCCUGACACAGGGAGGUAGUGACAACAAAUAACAAUGCCAGGUAAAAAUUUUUAACCCCUCGCGGGGGCUUGGCGAUUGGAAUGGGAAAAAUUCAAACUCCUUAUCGAGUAACAAUUGGAGGGAAAGUCUGGUGCCAGCAGCCGCGGUAAUUCCAGCUCCAAUAGUGUAUAUUAAAGCUGUUGCGAUUAAAAAGCUCGUAGUUGGAAUUUUAUAUUUUUUUAAAAUAAAAUAUUUUAUUUUAAAGUUUGAAAUUUUUUUUUUGGAAAAAAAAAGUUCAUUUUUUUUUAAAAAAAAAAGAAUUUUAAAAAUUUUUAAAAAAAAAUAUUUUAUUAAAAAAAAAAAGAUUUUUUUUUAAAAUAAAAAAAUAUAAAUAUUUUUUUAUAUUUUUAUUUUUUUAUAAAAAAUAAAAAAAAUCAAAUGAAAAAAAAAAUUUAUAAAUAUUUAUAUUUAUAUUUAUUUUUUUUCAAUUUACUUUGAAAAAAUUAAAGUGUUCAAAGCAGGUAAAAAAAUAUUAUUUUUUUUUAUUAUUAAAUUUUUAAUAAUAAAAAAAAAAAAGCCAUUUGAAUAUUAUUAGCAUGGGAUAAAAAAAAUCAACUUUUUUUUAAAAAAAAAUCUUGUAUUUUUCUUUUGGUUUUAAAAUUUUUUUAUUUUUUUAAAAAAAUAAAAAACCAAGGUUUUUAAAAAAAAAAAAAAGUUAAAGAUUAAAAAAGGAACGGUCGGGGUGAUUCAUAUUUAAUUGUCAGAGGUGAAAUUCUUGGAUUUCUGAAAGAUGAACUUUUGCGAAAGCGUCUCACAAGGACGUUUUCAUUAAUCAAGAACGAAAGUUGGGGGAUCGAAGACGAUCAGAUACCGUCGUAGUCUCAACUAUAAACUAUACUGACCAGGGAUUGGAAGAAAAUUCAAAAUAAAGUUUUUUUUAAAAAAUAUUUCUUUUUUUAGAGACAUUUUUAAAAAAAAACACAAAAAAAAAAAAACUCCUCCAGCACCUUUGAGAGAAAUCAUUGAGUGUUUAAGUUUCGGGGGGAGUAUGGUCGCAAGGCUGAAACUUAAAGGAAUUGACGGAAGGGCACACCAGGAGUGGAGCGUGCGGCUUAAUUUGACUCAACACGGGGAAACUUACCAGGUCAGGACAAUUGAAGGAUUGACAGGUCGAUAGCUCUUUCUCGAUUAAUUGGGUGGUGGUGCAUGGCCGUUCUUAGUUCGUGAAGUGGUUUGUCUGGUUAAUUCCGAUAACGAACGAGACCUUUACCUAUUAAAAUAGUUUUGUUAAAAAUUAUUAUUUUUUUUGUAAAAAAUAUUUUUUAUUUUUUAUAAAAAAAAUAUAUUACACAAAAAAAAAUUAUUUUUUUUAAAAAAUUUUUAUUUUCAAAUAAAAAAGUUUUAAAAAAAAAAAUAAAAAAAAUUCACUUCUUAAAGGGACAAUCCGUGUUUAACGAAUGGAAGAUUGAGGCAAUAACAGGUCUGUGAUGCCCUUUGAUGUCCUGGGCUGCACGCGCGCUACACUGGUGAAUUUAAUAUGUUUCAUUUUUUUAAUUUUUUUUUUAUAAAAAAAAUAAUUUUAUUAUUUUUUAAUAAAAAAAAAAAAUAAAAAAAACCUAAACUGAAAAGUUUAUUUUUAUUUUUUUUCAAAAAAAAAUAUAAAAAAAGGGUAAUCAUUUAAAAUUCACCGUGCUGGGGAUAAAACCUUGUAAUUAUAGUUUUUAAACGAGGAAUUCCUAGUAGUCGCGAGUCAUCAGCUCGCGUCGAUUACGUCCCUGCCCUUUGUACACACCGCCCGUCGCUCCUACCGAUUGGAUGAUGAGGUGAAGAUGGUGUAUUUUUUUUAAUUUUUUUAAUUUUUUAUUUAAAAAAAAGAAAAAAAAAUACCUUUCUAAACCUCAUCAUCUAGAGGAAGGAGAAGUCG
rnacentral:rRNA from 1 species